rnacentral:rRNA from 1 species
GUCGUAACAAGGUUUCCGUAGGUGAACCUGCGGAAGGAUCAUUACCGUUUGUCUCUCACGAGAAAACCACUGCGAACUGUAUCAAGCGCGUGGGGUGGCUCAGUCUUAAACGAUGUCUUAAUCGGCCCCACGUGCGCUGACACAAUUUGUUUUUACAACACACCUGUAUUACCAGUGCGUCUUUUUUCAAUGAAAGACGAAAACAAAACAAGAGAACAACUUCUAACGGUGGAUCUCUUGGCUCGUGCAUCGAUGAAGAACGUAGCCAGUUGCGAUAAGUAGUGUGAAUUGCAGAAUUCAGUGAAUCAUCGAAUCUUUGAACGCAAAUUGCGCUCUCUGGAUAUCCAGGGAGCAUGCCUGUCUGAGUGUCGUGUUAAAAUGAACACACCCCGGUGUGGCUAGGGAGCUCAGGCUGUCUCGGCAGACUGUCUCUCCAUGUGACUGAACCUGACUCUGCCUUUGUUGGCUCCGUCGGGAAGGCUCAACUUGCUUCUGUCCUUCUCGCGGCGUCCAGCUGAAGCAAAAGGUUCGCUAUCUCGAUUGAAAAGUCGAAAUUUCCAACUUUGACCUCAGAUCAGACAAGACUACCCGCUGAAUUUAAGCAUAUCAAUA